rnacentral:rRNA from 1 species
CCUACGGGUGGCUGCAGUGAGGAAUAUUGGUCAAUGGUCGGGAGACUGAACCAGCCAAGCCGCGUGAGGGAGGAAGGUACAGGGUAUCUUAACCCUCUUUUGUCAGGGAACAAAGACUGGGACGCGUCCCCGGAUGAGUGUACCUGAAGAAAAAGCAUCGGCUAACUCCGUGCCAGCAGCCGCGGUAAUACGGAGGAUGCGGGCGUUAUCCGGUUUUAUUGGGUUGAAAGGGUGAGCAGGCGGUAUGAUAAGUCAGCGGUCAAAGCCCGGGGCUCAACCCCGGCCCGCAGUUGAAACUGGCAGUCUUGAGUGGGAGAGAGGUAGGCGGAAUGCGCGGUGUAGCGGUGAAAUGCAUAGAUAUCGCGCAGAACUCCGAUUGCGAAGGCAGCAUGCCGGCUCGACACUGACGCUGAGGCACGAAAGCGUGGGUAUCGAACAGGAUUAGAUACCCCAGUAGUC